CUACGAUCCAAGUAGCAAUAGGGACUUCCUGACACAAGACGACUCUCUUCUCCCUCCAGGAGCUUUCUGUUUUUGGAGACAACAUGGAAGCAUUGAGAAGUGCAAUGAGCGACAUACAUUAUUAAAUCAGGACACCAACCUCUCUGAGUCCAAAUGAUUGAUGGUGUCCUGUGGAAUAAACACAAAAUAUGACAUGCAGAAUGAA